GUACGGAAGGCAGCAGUGGGGAAUAUUGGACAAUGGGCGCAAGCCUGAUCCAGCCAUGCCGCGUGGAUGAUGAAGGCCCUAGGGUUGUAAAGUCCUUUUAACGGGGAAGAUAAUGACGGUACCCGUAGAAUAAGCCCCGGCUAACUUCGUGCCAGCAGCCGCGGUAAUACGAAGGGGGCUAGCGUUGCUCGGAAUUACUGGGCGUAAAGCGCACGUAGGCGGGUCGUUAAGUCGGGGGUGAAAUCCUGGAGCUCAACUCCAGAACUGCCUCCGAAACUGGCGAUCUUGAGUUCGGGAGAGGUGAGUGGAACUGCGAGUGUAGAGGUGAAAUUCGUAGAUAUUCGCAAGAACACCAGUGGCGAAGGCGGCUCACUGGCCCGAUACUGACGCUGAGGUGCGAAAGCGUGGGGAGCAAACAGGAUUAGAAACCCUAGUAGUCCU
rnacentral:rRNA from 1 species